GAAUGAGUCUGUGUUUGUGUGAAACACUGUAAUGUGAAGGCAGUUGAUGGUGAAGAACUCCAGAGUUUGGAUUAUAGUAUGAUUAUGUCCUAUCAUUUAGGAUAGUGCGGGAUUACUUGUUGUUGUUAUCAGUGAUGGUGGAGUAUUAUUAGGAAGUGGAAAGCAUUGUAGUGUUUCGUGGGUGUUUUAAGUAGUGCGGAAUACAGUUAAUUGUGUGACCCUAACGUGUAAGCUCAUGCGGUAUUCUUUCCCUGUGUUCGAAUCUCCCUAUACAAGUU
rnacentral:lncRNA from 1 species